CGUAGGUGGUAGUGUAAGUCUGAGGUGGAAUCCCAGGGCUUAACCCUGGAACUGCCUUGGAAACUGCAUUACUUGAGUCAGUGAGGGGAGGGUAGAAUUCCUGGUGUAGCGGUGAAAUGCGUAGAUAUCAGGAGGAAGGCCUGUGGCGAAGGCGGCCCUCUGGCGCUGGACUGACACUGAGGCGCGAAAGCGUGGGGAGCAAACAGGAUUAGAUACCCUGGUAGUCCACGCCCUAAACGGUGGGCACUAGGUGUAGGGCUCGUAAGGGUUCUGUGCCGAAGGAAAACCAUUAAGUGCCCCGCCUGGGGAGUACGGCCGCAAGGUUGAA
rnacentral:rRNA from 1 species